GGUCAAGUGAAGAAGCGCAUACGGUGGAUGCCUUGGCAGUCAGAGGCGAUGAAAGACGUGGUAGCCUGCGAAAAGCUUCGGGGAGUCGGCAAACAGACUGUGAUCCGGAGAUGUCUGAAUGGGGGAACCCAGCCAUCACAAGAUGGUUAUCUUACACUGAAUACAUAGGUGUAAGAGGCGAACCAGGGGAACUGAAACAUCUAAGUACCCUGAGGAAAAGAAAUCAACCGAGAUUCCCUUAGUAGUGGCGAGCGAACGGGGACCAGCCCUUAAGUUGUAUUGAGAUUAGCGGAACGCUCUGGAAAGUGCGGCCAUAGUGGGUGAUAGCCCUGUACGCGAAAAUCCCUUUGCAAUGAAAUCGAGUAGGACGGGGCACGAGAAACCUUGUCUGAAUAUGGGGGGACCAUCCUCCAAGGCUAAAUACUACUGACUGACCGAUAGUGAACCAGUACCGUGAGGGAAAGGCGAAAAGAACCGCGGAGAGCGGAGUGAAAUAGAUCCUGAAACCGUAUGCGUACAAGCAGUGGGAGCCCACUUUGUUGGGUGACUGCGUACCUUUUGUAUAAUGGGUCAGCGACUUAUUUUCAGUGGCGAGCUUAACCGAAUAGGGGAGGCGUAGCGAAAGCGAGUCUUAAUAGGGCGUCUAGUCGCUGGGAAUAGACCCGAAACCGGGCGAUCUAUCCAUGGGCAGGUUGAAGGUUGGGUAACACUAACUGGAGGACCGAACCGACUACCGUUGAAAAGUUAGCGGAUGACCUGUGGAUCGGAGUGAAAGGCUAAUCAAGCUCGGAGAUAGCUGGUUCUCCUCGAAAGCUAUUUAGGUAGCGCCUCAUGUAUCACUGUAGGGGGUAGAGCACUGUUUCGGCUAGGGGGUCAUCCCGACUUACCAAACCGAUGCAAACUCCGAAUACCUACAAGUGCCGAGCAUGGGAGACACACGGCGGGUGCUAACGUCCGUCGUGAAAAGGGAAACAACCCAGACCGUCAGCUAAGGUCCCAAAGUCAUGGUUAAGUGGGAAACGAUGUGGGAAGGCUUAGACAGCUAGGAGGUUGGCUUAGAAGCAGCCACCCUUUAAAGAAAGCGUAAUAGCUCACUAGUCGAGUCGGCCUGCGCGGAAGAUGUAACGGGGCUCAAACCAUGCACCGAAGCUACGGGUAUCACCUUUGGUGAUGCGGUAGAGGAGCGUUCUGUAAGCCUGUGAAGGUGAGUUGAGAAGCUUGCUGGAGGUAUCAGAAGUGCGAAUGCUGACAUGAGUAACGACAAUGGGUGUGAAAAACACCCACGCCGAAAGACCAAGGUUUCCUGCGCAACGUUAAUCGACGCAGGGUUAGUCGGUCCCUAAGGCGAGGCUGAAAAGCGUAGUCGAUGGAAAACAGGUUAAUAUUCCUGUACUUCUGGUUAUUGCGAUGGAGGGACGGAGAAGGCUAGGCCAGCCUGGCGUUGGUAGUCCAGGUUUAAGGUGGUAGGCUGAGAUCUUAGGUAAAUCCGGGAUCUUAAGGCCGAGAGCUGAUGACGAGUGUUCUUUUAGAACAUGAAGUGGUUGAUGCCAUGCUUCCAAGAAAAGCUUCUAAGCUUCAGGUAACCAGGAACCGUACCCCAAACCGACACAGGUGGUUGGGUAGAGAAUACCAAGGCGCUUGAGAGAACUCGGGUGAAGGAACUAGGCAAAAUGGCACCGUAACUUCGGGAGAAGGUGCGCCGGUGAGGGUGAAGCAUUUACUGCGUAAGCCCACGCCGGUCGAAGAUACCAGGCCGCUGCGACUGUUUAUUAAAAACACAGCACUCUGCAAACACGAAAGUGGACGUAUAGGGUGUGACGCCUGCCCGGUGCCGGAAGGUUAAUUGAUGGGGUUAGCGCAAGCGAAGCUCUUGAUCGAAGCCCCGGUAAACGGCGGCCGUAACUAUAACGGUCCUAGGUAGCGAAAUUCCUUGUCGGGUAAGUUCCGACCUGCACGAAUGGCGUAACGAUGGCGGCGCUGUCUCCACCCGAGACUCAGUGAAAUUGAAAUCGCUGUGAAGAUGCAGUGUAUCCGCGGCUAGACGGAAAGACCCCGUGAACCUUUACUAUAGCUUUGCACUGGACUUUGAAUUUGCUUGUGUAGGAUAGGUGGGAGGCUUUGAAGCGUGGACGCCAGUCUGCGUGGAGCCAACCUUGAAAUACCACCCUGGCAACUUUGAGGUUCUAACUCAGGUCCGUUAUCCGGAUCGAGGACAGUGUAUGGUGGGUAGUUUGACUGGGGCGGUCUCCUCCUAAAGAGUAACGGAGGAGUACGAAGGUGCGCUCAGACCGGUCGGAAAUCGGUCGUAGAGUAUAAAGGCAAAAGCGCGCUUGACUGCGAGACAGACACGUCGAGCAGGUACGAAAGUAGGUCUUAGUGAUCCGGUGGUUCUGUAUGGAAGGGCCAUCGCUCAACGGAUAAAAGGUACUCCGGGGAUAACAGGCUGAUACCGCCCAAGAGUUCAUAUCGACGGCGGUGUUUGGCACCUCGAUGUCGGCUCAUCACAUCCUGGGGCUGAAGCCGGUCCCAAGGGUAUGGCUGUUCGCCAUUUAAAGUGGUACGCGAGCUGGGUUUAGAACGUCGUGAGACAGUUCGGUCCCUAUCUGCCGUGGACGUUUGAGAUUUGAGAGGGGCUGCUCCUAGUACGAGAGGACCGGAGUGGACGAACCUCUGGUGUUCCGGUUGUCACGCCAGUGGCAUUGCCGGGUAGCUAUGUUCGGAAAAGAUAACCGCUGAAAGCAUCUAAGCGGGAAACUUGCCUCAAGAUGAGAUCUCACUGGAACCUAGAGUUCCCUGAAGGGCCGUCGAAGACUACGACGUUGAUAGGUUGGGUGUGUAAGCGCUGUGAGGCGUUGAGCUAACCAAUACUAAUUGCCCGUGAGGCUUGACCAU
rnacentral:rRNA from 1 species